rnacentral:rRNA from 1 species
AUUGAACGCUGGCGGCAGGCCUAACACAUGCAAGUCGAACGGUAACAGGAAGCAGCUUGCUGCUUCGCUGACGAGUGGCGGACGGGUGAGUAAUGUCUGGGAAGCUGCCUGAUGGAGGGGGAUAACUACUGGAAACGGUAGCUAAUACCGCAUAAUGUCGCAAGACCAAAGAGGGGGACCUUCGGGCCUCUUGCCAUCGGAUGUGCCCAGAUGGGAUUAGCUUGUUGGUGGGGUAACGGCUCACCAAGGCGACGAUCCCUAGCUGGUCUGAGAGGAUGACCAGCCACACUGGAACUGAGACACGGUCCAGACUCCUACGGGAAGCAGCAGUGGGGAAUAUUGCACAAUGGGCGCAAGCCUGAUGCAGCCAUGCCGCGUGUAUGAAGAAGGCCUUCGGGUUGUAAAGUACUUUCAGCGGGGAGGAAGGGAGUAAAGUUAAUACCUUUGCUCAUUGACGUUACCCGCAGAAGAAGCACCGGCUAACUCCGUG